rnacentral:rRNA from 1 species
CCUACGGGGUGCAGCAGUGAGGAAUAUUGGUCAAUGGACGGAAGUCUGAACCAGCCAUGCCGCGUGCAGGAUGACGGCUCUAUGAGUUGUAAACUGCUUUUGUACAAGGGUAAACCUGAAUAUGUGUACUCAGUUGUAAGUACCGUACGAAUAAGGAUCGGCUAACUCCGUGCCAGCAGCCGCGGUAAUACGGAGGAUCCAAGCGUUAUCCGGAUUUAUUGGGUUUAAAGGGUGCGUAGGCGGAUUGUUAAGUUAGUGGUGAAAGGUCGGAGCUUAACUCGGGAACUGCCUCUGAUACUGUUGAUCUAGAGAAUAGAUGCGGUAGGCGGAAUGUGUGGUGUAGCGGUGAAAUGCUUAGAGAUCAUACAGAACACCGAUUGCGAAGGCAGCUUACCAAUCUAUAUCUGACGUUGAGGCACGAAAGCGUGGGGAGCAAACAGGAUUAGAUACCCCAGUAGUC